ensembl:lncRNA
GAAUAACACUCUUUUUCUCUCAGUGCUUUGAACUCUGGUACCCUACAGCUCCGACCACCCCUCUCUGCAACAGCAAGAACUCACACUGAGGUGCCCCUCUCUCUCUCUCUCUCUCUCUCUCUCUCUCUCUAUUUCCCUCUCCCCUUUCCUGCUGUGUCGCACUUCUCUUUCUCUUCCCAUAAGUCGUACCUCUCUCUGCUCCCUUCUCAUUUGUCUUUCACUUUCUCCCACAUGUGCUUGUCUGCUUCAGAUGUGCUGCUGUACCUUUUGCAUUGAAGAAACUUUCUGAUGUUUUUUUUCUGUCCUGUUGGGACUGAGAACAGGCGUGCACAGCUUCUUCUGCUGGGCUUUCUACGGUGAAGGGGGUAGGACUCGUGCCGCACACAUAUACACAAUCACGUGUUCCUGUCCGUUCAAAGGUGAGUAUUCUCAGGGCAAGGGUUACUUACUUCAACACAUACACACCCAUCCAUGUUGGCGGCGGUUUAUCAGGGAAAGUGGAGCUCUCCUCUCCUGCAGAGCUCAUCUGUUCCUGUGCCACCCUGCAAACUCCCUGUAGACAUUAGUGGGCUUUCCACACUCCCCACCCAAGGGGCAGGUGGAACACACACAUUCGCACUAACCAAACACCUCCUACUGCGUGGCAUUGAAUAGGACAGCUGCCCAGGAGGUUAUGGCCAACUGCUUUAUGUGUAAUGCAGCCACCAUCAAAGCCAGUUGUUUUGAAGAGACAGGAUGUGAGGCAGGAUGUCCAGAUUAAAUAACAGACCUAUUAAUGUCAGCCUGACAACAGCGCAAGAGAGGAGAAAACCCUUCAGAACUUUAGCUGUCAUAAUUCGAUACACCAACGGAACAAUGCUUUUUGAUUUCAGAUCAAAUAAUCCUGAAGUCAUGCGGUUCUGUGAAGAAUUCAUUGGCUUUUUAUGCACAGUCAUAUAUAUACAAUGUCAGUGUUCAUGUGCGGCGUGUGUUCACAGGGUGUAUGGUGUGGGAACAGAGAUAGGGGAGGUCCCUGCGUUGUUCACGGCCCGGGCGGGCGGGUUGUCAGGGACGGGCCCGGGUGAUGAAGCCUGUGAGGAGUUUGCAGAGCUGUUCCACUCAACAAUGGUAAGAAUCGUCAGUCUGACGUCCGCUUCACAGCAUCUCUCACUGGCGCUGCAGGAGAGUAUUUCCUGUGCAGUCUGAAGCCUGAUUCCCCCAAAUCUCUCCUUUUGCUCCUCAUGUACUCUGAGACUGAAGACGACACGCUUUCUACGUCUGUGGCUUUUUUUUGUUUUUAAAUCUACUGAAAUCUUCUGCCACUUUGAAUCCGAAAUCAUCCUCCAGUAGCACUGCAAGUGAAGACGAAGCGGGUCCCUUUCUCCGAAACGGAUUUAAAAAGAUGUACCUUGCUUUUUUGUAAACUACAUUUUGUCCAGGACAGUAUCCACAAUAGCAUUGCAAAUAUAGAGUAGUUGUCAACUUUUUUUUUUUUGUAUGUUGUUCAGCUUUGACGGAGCACAGGAAGUGAUUUAAUUGGGUAUUUGUGUGUUUUACUCAUUUGUUUAUAUGUUUCUAGGUGUAUUUCUGUGCUUGUAUGACGUCUAACAGCAUAACAGAAUGGUUCCAGACGUCCUUUGCCCAAAGGUCAAGGGCAUGGGAUUGUAUGUCAAGUGUCUGUGUCGUCAUGUUGGUUUCUAGAGAUCACCAGACAUAUGGCACGUGUGCGACUGCACACACACGAGCGAGGCUGGCACAAAGCAGCUCAACAGAAGAGACUUCAUCAGCUGCAUCCAUUUAUAGUCAUCAACAGCUGUUUUAGUCAUUGAAACAGCAUCGUUUUUUUAAUUGAUAUUUAUGUGUGCUUUUAUUUUAUUUAAAACAAGUGUUAACAAGACAAGCAAAAAUGUCUGGUUUCUUGUUUAACUUUGAGUAACACUGUUAAAAAAUGCUUCUGAAUCAUUGUUUCCGGCACUGAAAGGGUUAGUAAGUCUGUGAAUUCUCCCCUGCCAACUCCCAGGCAGUCGAAUAAGUAACCCAAUUCGGAGGCAUCUGUUCGGGGAAGGGCGUGUAUCUGCCUCCCCCUCGCCCUGAUUCCUCUGCGCUCCUCUUCUCCCGGAGCUGUGGUUAGCCCUGCCCUUACGGGUCAUGUGACUUCUCUGAAACUCCCUCCUCCCCCUGCCUCCCCCCGUGUUUCCAGUAAACUGCUGAAAGGAGGGGCUGAGUCAGUCUUCAACCAGCUUCCCUUUGACCACAGCUUGUUAAAGAAUUUGUCAACGUGGACUCCAGGGUGCACAUUUUUUUCCUCCUUGUGAUAGAUAGAUUUAAAUGUUUUUCAUCUCUUCCUCCCUGGAACGGUCCGAUUACGUCAGGCACCCAUGAUCACUUCCUGCGCUACGCCGUAGAAAGAGAGAGAGAGUGUGUGUGUGUGUGUGUGUGUGUGUGUGUGAGAGAGGCUCAUAUAAAGGACUUUGAUAUUUGGCGGCAUGUGUGCCAGAGACAUUUGUCUUGGUGCCUGUCUGAAAGAGUUUCAUUCAGAAAAAAAGACUGGACUAAUAAUCUGAGAAAGGGGGGGGAAAUAACAAUUUAGGGUUUAACCUGAUUACGAUCUUCCUGUGAUUCUCCCAGCUGGCGAUCUGAUUUUCCGGUAUUAGAUCAUGUGUAAUAUUUGCUUUUGCAAACUCACUUGCUCCGCAGACUGACAAAUUAACUUUCUGUAUAAAUAAAACAGAAACUGACGCAAAUAAACUCUAAACUACCAUUGAAAUCUGUUACCUUAAUUUAUUAAAUAAAAAAUGUGAUUAAAAAGAAUUUUUUUUAUUAAAGGGUUAGCUAACCCCAAAAGUGAAUUUCUGUCAUUAUUUACUCAUUUAGUAACCCAUUUGUAGUUGAAAACCUGUAUGACUUUCUUUUUC